UACGUAGGGUGCAAGCGUUAAUCGGAAUUACUGGGCGUAAAGCGCGCGCAGGCGGCUUUCUAAGUCCGUCGGUGAAAGACCGGGGCUCAACCCCGUGUCAGCCAUGGAUACUGGGAGGCUGGAGACAGGUAGAGGCAAGCGGAAUUCCGGGUGUAGCGGUGGAAUGCGUAGAUAUCCGGAAGAACACCGGAGGCGAAGGCGGCUUGCUGGACCUGGUCUGACGCUGAGGCGCGAAAGCGUGGGGAGCGAACAGG
rnacentral:rRNA from 1 species